UUCAGUAAAUAUAUAGCAUUCAGCAGCAUAAAGAGUACUUUAUCUGUACAAGAUUGGGACUUGCUUCUGAGCAAACAUGCAUAGGAUUGCACCACAACAGAAGAUCACAGCAGGAACUUGGUGGGCAUACAUGAGAACAGUUAAUGGUAGCCAGGAGAUCUUUUAUCAACCACACAUAUUCUGUGGGUUGCAACUGUCUUUGGGGAGGAGUGAUCCUGCUUGCUGAUGCUCACUACUUUGUGAGAAAUUACUGAAAGGAAAGGAAAUGAAAUCUGAAAAGGCAGCAGUAUCUUGUCUCCCGUCAUCAUGUCAAUCCAUUCUGAUCAACAUGGGAGGAACAGAUGCAGGGAACUCCCCCAAAAUACUUUGUUUGAAAUAAGUUCUUUUUAUGCCUUUCAUGGCUUCUCUUGUGCAGAAUGCUUUGUAUUUGGCAUUUUUCAAUGCAUUCCAAAAAUGUCUUCUGUAUACAUUCUAAUAUAAUGGCCUUCAUGUCGAUGGUGGGAAAUGAAAACAGCUGUGUUGUGGUAUCUCAUAUAGAAGUGGGAUUAGAUGCAAUGGAGUUAAAAGGAGAUUAUGGUGCAUCUAGCAGAGAAGGGGGUUUUACAGGAAAAUAAUUUGUUGCUCUUCUAAUAUAAACAUCAAAUGCGGGUUUGGGGCAGAAAAUAGCAUAAUCAUAGCGUGACAUAUUCUGGAGGAUAGUAGUAUUAUAGUGUGCUAAGUGUAUUUUUUUUGGUCUCAUCUGAUGUGAAGUAAAAUUCCCAUCACUUAAAAAGAUGUUUUUGCUGGGGAUUACAUAAAGCUAAGUAUUAAAAGCAACACAGUUGCAAUUAACAGGCACGGAAACAAUAAAGAUUAUUAAAGGUUUUUAUCUGGCAUAUUAGUGAUGCAGAGUCUCUGCCAAGAAGCCACAUUUGUAAAAUUAUCUCCUUCUGGCAGCAUAAAGACUUAGAUAUCCCUUUCAUUCAAGCCAUCAUGAUAGGUCACCUGAUUUGUGUUGGAUUUCAAUGUUGAAAUUAAUUCUUAGAAUUGUAGGGAUGAUUACCUGGUCUUCCCUUCACCUAUGCCCUUUGUAUGGCCCACAUGAAUGGUUUAACCCCAGCCAACCUUCUCAUAAUAACAAGCUUUAAAAAUGUAAAUGUACUGCCUUCAAGUUGAUCCCGACUUACGGCGACCGUAUGAAUAAGGUUUUCAUGAGGCUGAGAGGCAGUUGGAGGGAGAGAAAAUUACCAAAAGCAUGCAGGCAAUGCUGUUCACAUGUUCCCAACAGUUUGCCUACCCUGCCCAGGAAAGGCAUCACAACAAUCAAGAUCUUUCAGUCUCAGCUGCCUAUGAGAAUGCUAGAGAAUCAGAGGUCAGAGGAUGGAAUCAGUUUGGUCCUUUACUUCAUGCUCUGUCCUAGAAUGGCCAGUCAGUCUAGUUGCUAAACAGUCUACUGGUUGAUACAAGAUGUUUUUGAACCAAAGUGGGACCAGUGUAGUGCACUAUCCUUUUGAAGUAGUAUAUUUUUUUAAAAAAUCCCAGGGUGUGAUCUGAAAGCACAUGAGACUAUCACCCUGACGAAGCUAAGCAGGUCUGAGUCUGGUCAUUGUUAGGGCUGGAGAAUGAUGUGUAUGCCUCCUUGUGUUCCAUGAUGUUCAAAAAGUGGGAUAAAAAUGUAAGAAAAUGUGUAUCUAUAUUGUUAUGGGAUUGGGGGUUGAGAUAUAUGAUUUCUAUGAAUCUCCUUUCCAGCUUCUGAUUUGGGAUCUGCAAAGGAAGAAAUCUGCUCUACUGGUCAGACUCGUUUCCUUUGUUAAGCUAGUCUGUGAGCUAAUGGGUUUGUGAAGUGACCACCAUUAGCAUAUAUAAGAAUAUAACACAGAGAUAAUAUAGCUAUUGGAACUCUUUCUGGACAGAGGCCCUCUCUGCCCCCCAUCUGGGAUCCAAGGAGAGGCUUGUGUUUUUAGUCUCAUAUUGGGGAGAAGCUGGAAACUAGGGAGACACACAGAGAGCCCUGCUCUCUGCACCAUGGCUUUGGGAUGCUUCUGUGCAAGCCUAAUGGAAAAGCAAGAUCUAUUGGACUGUUAAUGCUUUGAACCCCUCCAUCUUAAGGUGAAUGUGUGCAAAUAAACCAUAUAUCAUAAA